CUGCCGGAAUCCGACGCUCUCCCCAAGGACACAAGCCAUGCAUGCCCGCGCACCCGGGAGGCGGCGGACGGCUCAGGACAACGGUUGCACCCCCCGCGGCGGUCCCUGCUAGCCGGACACCGCUGGCAACCCGGCGCCAAGACGUGCGCGCAAGGGCGGGCGCCCGCGGGCGAGCAGCGUGACGCAGCGACGGCCCGCCCGGGCUUCCGGGGCAUCACCCGGUCGGCGCGGUCGCGGCGCGCCGAGGGCCCGACGCCUGGCGGAGA
rnacentral:rRNA from 1 species